CACACACACACACACACACACACACACACACACAAUUAGGUUGAGUAAACCUGCUUAGUUUUUUAGGUUUUUAAAAGAUCUCCACAAGGAGACAAACACAAACACGCACAUCAAGGAGCAAAGAGUACACCCGCAAAUAACUACUGUGUGUUUUCACCUUUUCUACUCCCUUGUUUCUGUAACACACACACACACACACACGCACACGCACACGCACACACACACACAAACGUGUUUGCUAAGAAUUUCUAUAUAUUUAAAAAAAUAUCUAAUACAAAUAUAAUAAGUACUGAGUAUUUCUACCUCCUCGUUUCCAUUAUUUCUGUUAUUACCAAAGACGUUAUGGUUUAAUUGAUCAGAAAUGACGAUCACCCCGUUUCCCGCGGCGAUGAAGCCGUCCUGCGGUCCCGUCUCUGGAGCGUUUACCGCUUUAACCUCCGCUUAUCUAAGUAUUAUUCCACCCCCCCCGUCCCCCCCCGUCCCCUAAGGCGAGCUGUGAGCCCACGGAGCGCGCCCGGACCCCUCCAACCCCCACCACCUCCACCACGGGCCCCGCGGGGCCCAAGAGGAUGAAGCUCGCUGGCGCCCCCGCCGGGAGUGUCCCUGAGCCUUCAGCCUCCAACUGUGUCAUCCUGUGAUGGACGAGGUCAGAGGUCAGAGGUCAGGAAGAUCCCAAGGUCAUGUGACAUGGGUCAAAUCAACAAUUAUAUAUCAAUUUAUUUUUUAAUAUUUUUCGCCAUAUUCAAUUUUUUUAUAUGGAAACAUUAUACCGUUGGUGCCAAAGACAGAAGUCUUAUCCAAUUGAUUUUGGAGACCUUUGCAUCGCUACUCUGACAAUUAUUAUUUUGAUUAUUGUUAUAAAUACUACUACUAAAGCUUCAGCUGUGUGUCCCAUGUGCAAUAGAGCACAUUUGUGUGCUUUCGAAAGGACGCCGGGAAAUCGAUUAUUGAUGACUGAAAGAAAAAAAGAAGUGAAAUCGAUUAUCUUGAUUAAAGCGAGCUGCUUUUAACCGAAUGGGUGCAUGUUUACCAGCUGCACCUCAUUCCACCACCGCAAUGUGAUUAUACUAAUCCAUUUUAUAAACUAUCAUGUGAUUAUUAUAUGCUACUGUAAAUACACCAAUCCUUGGAUAAACCUGACAGUUUAUCCUUCGACGUAUCCCGUCGCUUUUUUAUCUUUUUUUAAUCAUGACGUGAUUUUUGCCUUUCUGAUUAGGCUCUAUGUUUUAUACUGAAUUUCUGAUUUUUGUUCGUUUAUCUGUUUUUUCUAUGCUGCUAUCUGUUACACUGGUCAAAAAAUAACAUUCCUAUUGCCCUUUAUCAAUAAAACUUCAUUCUAAAUGUUGUGAAA